rnacentral:lncRNA from 1 species
AAAAUCGCAAAACGAAUUAGAUCGUCGUCAUUUUUUUUUAUAUAUGUCGUCGACCCCUAUAUAUGUGACUUUUAUCGACAUAUAUACUUUUCUACUUAAACAUUUUUAAUUCGCCAAACUUACUAAUUCUUCAAAAUUUACACUAGUUAAAAAAAAGAAAAAAAAACAUUGUUUUCUCAAUAUUGAAAAACGGAUUUAUUUCCCACCUUUAUUCUUCUUAAUAAUUAACGUUAAAAAAGUGUUCCGUAUUUUAGUUCAAAUUAAAUUCUCCAUUACUU